rnacentral:rRNA from 1 species
UGAGUGGCGGACGGGUGAGUAACACGUAGGUAACCUGCCCCGGAGCGGGGGAUAACAUUUGGAAACAGAUGCUAAUACCGCAUAACAACAAAAGCCACAUGGCUUUUGUUUGAAAGAUGGCUUUAGCUAUCACUCUGGGAUGGACCUGCGGUGCAUUAGCUAGUUGGUAAGGUAACGGCUUACCAAGGCGAUGAUGCAUAGCCGAGUUGAGAGACUGAUCGGCCACAAUGGAACUGAGACACGGUCCAUACUCCUACGGGAGGCAGCAGUAGGGAAUCUUCCACAAUGGGCGCAAGCCUGAUGGAGCAACACCGCGUGAGUGAAGAAGGGUUUCGGCUCGUAAAGCUCUGUUGUUGGAGAAGAACGUGCGUGAGAGUAACUGUUCACGCAGUGACGGUAUCCAACCAGAAAGUCACGGCUAACUACGUGCCAGCAGCCGCGGUAAUACGUAGGUGGCAAGCGUUAUCCGGAUUUAUUGGGCGUAAAGCGAGCGCAGGCGGUUGCUUAGGUCUGAUGUGAAAGCCUUCGGCUUAACCGAAGAAGUGCAUCGGAAACCGGGCAACUUGAGUGCAGAAGGGGACAGUGGAACUCCAUGUGUAGCGGUGGAAUGCGUAGAUAUAUGGAAGAACACCAGUGGCGAAGGCGGCUGUCUGGUCUGCAACUGACGCUGAGGCUCGAAAAGCAUGGGGUUAGCGAACAGGAUUAGAUACCCUGGUAGUCCAUGCCGUAAAACGAUGAGUUGCUAGGUGUUGGAGGGUUUCCGCCC